GAAACAGGUGCUAAUACCGCAUAACAGUUUAUGCCGCAUGGCAUAAGAGUGAAAGGCGCUUUCGGGUGUCACUGAUGGAUGGACCCGCGGUGCAUUAGCUAGUUGGUGAGGUAACGGCUCACCAAGGCCACGAUGCAUAGCCGACCUGAGAGGGUGAUCGGCCACACUGGGACUGAGACACGGCCCAGACUCCUACGGGAGGCAGCAGUAGGGAAUCUUCGGCAAUGGACGAAAGUCUGACCGAGCAACGCCGCGUGAGUGAAGAAGGUUUUCGGAUCGUAAAACUCUGUUGUUAGAGAAGAACAAGGACGUUAGUAACUGAACGUCCCCUGACGGUAUCUAACCAGAAAGCCACGGCUAACUACGUGCCAGCAGCCGCGGUAAUACGUAGGUGGCAAGCGUUGUCCGGAUUUAUUGGGCGUAAAGCGAGCGCAGGCGG
rnacentral:rRNA from 1 species